rnacentral:lncRNA from 1 species
CACAGAUGGAAGGUUUUGGCUGUGUUAGGUCAAUGCAUGGGGAAAGGUGUCAGCUUCCCCACCGUGCAGUCAGUGUUGUGCAAAAGCAGAGGCAGGAUCUGAGGGCAAGACAAACUGGGGGCUCCUGCUUGAUUGUCUCACCUGCCCCUCUUUGGCAGCGGGUUGUGUCCCUGGCCUUUUAGACCUAAGCAGAGAGGGAAUUUCAAGUCAGGUGGCGCCUGUACAGUCUAUGGAAUAGGUAGUUAAUGAGGUCUGGAGUUGAUGUUGCCUUCCUCUCCUUCUCUGAUCACUUUCAUGUCACUCACCCAUCCCAGAUGCCAUGGUGUUCUCAAUGCCCCAGUUCUGGGGUUUCCUGCCCCACUCCACCUUUCCUUUCCUGAUCCUCAAGAAAACUGACUUCUUUUCCUAAGCCCCCCGUCUCCACUUUGUGAGGGGCAUUCUGAGCAUGGAGGCUAAUCAAUAUGUUCUCAGUAUCCAAUGGAAGCCUAACGUGCCACCUCUUCCAAGGGCAGUGCAUUUUAACUCAGACCCAACGCCCCAACCAAAUGAAAGAUCUCUAAUCUGGAAUUUUCAACAAUGGGGCUGGUGGGUCAGGGUGCACCAGAUCUCAGGAGGUUUAUCCAGAAGACUUUCAAGUGCCCCAAGAGGCUGAGUGGUCCGCCAAGUGCCUGCAUGUGUGCAGUCAGGAAGCUUGAGUCUGGGUUCUGCCUGGGGCAAGUCACUACAACUCCCAGAGCCUCAUUUCUGCUAUUCGUAAAAUGGAGAAGACACCUCCUAUGAUAUCAAGUCACUGACUUGUUCCCAGGUGCUAAAAAAUGAAAUUACAUUGCUUAGCCUUGAAACUGUGCAACCUUUCAACUGCUGAUGAAAACAACCUCAGCAAGAUGAAAAUUUCUCCAUUUUCCUGAAACUAUUCUGCAUCAUAAAAUUCAUUGCAGUCCUUUCUGCACCUGGAUAUCCUCAGCAUUAACAAUAACACCAUCAACUCACUCAUUGGACUUCAUGAAUGUGUGGUGGAGCCUCCUGAGGAUUUAACUUUCAAUACCAUGACUUAUUGAUGAGACUUGUAAUCAACAAUAAAAUUGGAAGGCCUCCUAA